UACGAAGGGGGCUAGCGUUGCUCGGAAUCACUGGGCGUAAAGGGUGCGUAGGCGGGUUUUUAAGUCAGGGGUGAAAUCCUGGAGCUCAACUCCAGAACUGCCUUUGAUACUGAAGAUCUUGAGUCCGGGAGAGGUGAGUGGAACUGCGAGUGUAGAGGUGAAAUUCGUAGAUAUUCGCAAGAACACCAGUGGCGAAGGCGGCUCACUGGCCCGGUACUGACGCUGGGGCACGAAAGCGUGGGGAGCAAACAGG
rnacentral:rRNA from 1 species